rnacentral:rRNA from 1 species
GACGAACGCUGGCGGCGUGCCUAAUACAUGCAAGUAGAACGCUGAAGAGAGGAGCUUGCUCUUCUUGGAUGAGUUGCGAACGGGUGAGUAACGCGUAGGUAACCUGCCUUGUAGCGGGGGAUAACUAUUGGAAACGAUAGCUAAUACCGCAUAACAAUGGAUGCCACAUGUCUUUUAUUUGAAAGGGGCAAUUGCUCCACUACAAGAUGGACCUGCGUUGUAUUAGCUAGCAGGUGAGGUAAUGGCUCACCUAGGCGGCGAUACAUACCCGACCUGAGAGGGUGAUCGGCCACACUGGGACUGGGACACGGGCCAGACUCCUACGGGAGGCAGCAGUAGGGAAUCUUCGGCAAUGGGGGCAACCCUGACCGAGCAACGCCGCGUGAGUGAAGAAGGUUUUCGGAUCGGAAAGCUCUGUUGUAAGUCAAGAACGGGUGUGAGAGUGGAAAGUUCACACUGUGACGGUAGCUUACCAGAAAGGGACGGCUAACUACGUG